GUUCGGCUCGCUGGCUGGCUGCCCGCCGGUCGCCUCGCCGCUGGCUCGCGGGCUCCGGGGCCGGGUGUCCGUAUUUAUAGGUGCGCGCGCCCCGCGCUCGCGCUCCAAAGCGCUCUUUGCAAUAACACGGAAUCACGUGUGGGGAAUGCGACCUGGGAGGAAAACAAAGCCGCAGGCGGCGGCCGCAGAGGCAGGCGGCGGGAGGCGAGGGGCCGCAGGAGGAGGAAGAGGAGGACGGGAGAGCCGAGCGGGUGGUGGGGCGGGGGAUCGGCCCAGCUGUCCGGGUUGUCCGAGCUGCUUGCUGGGGGGGUUGGCGACUCCCGGGGCGCGCGGAAGCCAGGUGCGGGAGGCGAGCACGUUUCCCCCGCGCGCUCGCACUGGGAAUUGGGGGAGCGAGCAGAACCCAGUGGGUUAGGUCCUGGGGCUGUGCUCCUGGGAGAGUUGUGGGUCUACAGGACAGUUAUGUGGAGCGUUGCAGAGUUUUAGACUGAGAGCGAGUUACUUAGACCCCGCAAGGCCGUUGGUCCCUGAGGAGUAAAUAGGUCCUUAUUCAUAAUAACACGGGUAAGUCUACAGCCCCUAUGGAGACUGUCCCACCGUAAAGUUAUCGCUAACAACCAUUGCGGUUGGGUCUCGUUCGUUCCCAGGCCAAGAUGCAGCCCCCGGGAUAAAUGCACGCCUUGGGAUGCGUAAGAGCCCAGAAGCACGAACAUCUUCCAUGUGACCAAUGAAUUCACGCAUCCCCAAUCCAUGGCCUUUUGAAAACCUGGAGCCUGGAGUCUAUUUACAGCAGCCUCAUAUCAGUGAAGUCAAAGCUCAAUGGCCAGCUCUGUGAAAUUUCACCAGGAUUUUAAUUAUUUUGGCUAACUACCUUGAAACUUCCAAGCCCUUUUAUGACAAUCGAGUUAAUUUACAUGACCACUGGCCUGGUUGGAAGGCAGUGUUAAGUGAAAGACUCCAACAGUGUUCCUGUAAAAUAUAUUUUCCUUCAUUCAAAA